rnacentral:sRNA from 1 species
CCCAGAAUACGCGGGGCAGCGUGCUCCCACC